UACGAAGGGGGCUAGCGUUGCUCGGAUUUACUGGGCGUAAAGGGCGCGUAGGCGGUUCGUACAGUCAGACGUGAAAUUCCUGGGCUCAACCUGGGGGCUGCGUUUGAUACUGGAUGGCUGGAGUUUGGGAGAGGGAUGCGGAAUUCCAGGUGUAGCGGUGAAAUGCGUAGAUAUCUGGAGGAACACCGGUGGCGAAGGCGGCAUCCUGGACCAAUACUGACGCUGAGGAGCGAAAGCCAGGGGAGCAAACGGG
rnacentral:rRNA from 1 species